UUCCAUCGAUACAUCACAUGGAUCGUUUUAUGGUACAUUUUUUUUCUCGACUAGCUGUUUUUUCAGUGUUGGUAUGUUAAAUUUGUUUCGUUGCAUUUAAUUUAAGGGGAAAUAGGCAAUCCCCCAAAUGGAAAAUAUUAUGAGUAAAACCCAAUUGACUUUUAAGACUUUUGCACAAACCCACAUCCCAAACUUAAUUAGUGAAACUCCUCAAUUAAACAUAAUAAGACAUAAGUACCCUUAUUAACAAUUGUUUUUUUAUAAUAAAUCAAAUAUUUAAUCACGGUAUCUUUGCAUAACCGUUUCCCUUUAUUAUAGGCGGACGUGAUUCUCCUUGAUAUACAGACGUGAGUUCAGCCGAGAUUAUGUGAGAAUAGAGAUUUCGUCGCCGUUCAACCCUUCUGUGUUCGUUGCCGGAGUUAAACUGUGUUUGAAGGUCCAAGGUUCAGCUUUAAUUUUGUUGGUUUCGUAAAUGGGGCUGGGUUGUAGUGUGUGUAUUCAUAUAUGUGUGUAUGUAGAACCGAAUUUUUAUUGUUUUUUUUGGGUCGUCUUAAUUGGUGUAAAAGAUCGUUACUGAUUGAAAAUUUUAUUUCGUUUUAUACAGUCG
rnacentral:lncRNA from 1 species